GAUGAACGCUGGCGGCGUGCCUAAUACAUGCAAGUCGAGCGAACAGACGAGGAGCUUGCUCCUCUGACGUUGGCGGCGGACGGGUGAGUAACACGUGGAUAACCUACCUAUAAGACUGGGAUAACUUCGGGAAACCGGAGCUAAUACCGGAUAAUAUAUUGAACCGCAUGGUUCAAUAGUGAAAGACAGUUUUGCUGUCACUUAUAGAUGGAUCCGCGCCGCAUUAGCUAGUUGGUAAGGUAACGGCUUACCAAGGCAACGAUGCGUAGCCGACCUGAGAGAGUGAUCGGCCACACUGGAACGGAGACACGGUCCAGACUCCUACGGGAGGCAGCAGUAGGGAAUCUUCCGCAAUGGGCGAAAUCCUGACGGAGCAACGCCGCGUGAGUGAUGAAGGUCUUCGGAUCGUAAAACUCUGUUAUUAGGGAAGAACAAAUGUGUAAGUAACUAUGCACGUCUUGACGGUACCUAAUCAGAAAGCCACGGCUAACUACGUU
rnacentral:rRNA from 1 species